rnacentral:rRNA from 1 species
GAUGAACGCUAGCGGCAGGCCUAACACAUGCAAGUCGAGGGGUAACUAGAGUGAUAGCAAUAUUACUUUGGCUAGACCGGCGCACGGGUGCGUAACACGUAUGCAACCUACCUUAUACUGGGGAAUAACUUCGAGAAAUCGGCGCUAAUACCCCAUAACAUUGCGAAGAGGCAUCUCUUUGCAAUUAAAGCUCCGGCGGUAUAAGAUGGGCAUGCGUCCAAUUAGCUAGUUGGUGAGGUAACGGCUCACCAAGGCUACGAUUGGUAGGGGUUCCGAGAGGAUGAUCCCCCACACUGGUACUGAGACACGGACCAGACUCCUACGGGAGGCAGCAGUGAGGAAUAUUGCGCAAUGGACGAAAGUUUGACGCAGCCAUGCCGCGUGCAGGAUGACGGCCCUAUGGGUUGUAAACUGCUUUUGUACGGGAAUAAACCCUUCUACGUGUAGGAGGCUGAAGGUACCGUAAGAAUAAGCACUGGCUAACUCCGUGCCAGCCGCCGCCGUAA